rnacentral:rRNA from 1 species
UGAGGAAUAUUGGUCAAUGGGCGAGAGCCUGAACCAGCCAAGUCGCGUGAAGGAAGACAGUCCUAAGGAUUGUAAACUUCUUUUAUACGGGAAUAACGGGCGAUACGAGUAUUGCAUUGAAUGUACCGUAAGAAUAAGCAUCGGCUAACUCCGUGCCAGCAGCCGCGGUAAUACGGAGGAUGCGAGCGUUAUCCGGAUUUAUUGGGUUUAAAGGGUGCGUAGGUUGUUCGGUAAGUCAGCGGUGAAACCUGAGCGCUCAACGUUCAGCCUGCCGUUGAAACUGACGGGCUUGAGGUCAGUGGCGGCAGGCGGAAUUCGUGGUGUAGCGGUGAAAUGCAUAGAUAUCACGAGGAACUCCGAUUGCGAAGGCAGCUUGCCAUACUGCGACUGACACUGAAGCACGAAGGCGUGGGUAUCAAACAGG